UACGUAGGGUGCGAGCGUUAAUCGGAAUUACUGGGCGUAAAGCGUACGCAGGCGGCUGCGCAAGACAGAUGUGAAAUCCCCGGGCUCAACCUGGGAACUGCCUUUGUGACUGCAAGGCUUGAGUGCGGCAGAGGGGGAUGGAAUUCCGCGUGUAGCAGUGAAAUGCGUAGAUAUGCGGAGGAACACCGAUGGCGAAGGCAAUCCCCUGGGCCUGCACUGACGCUCAUGCACGAAAGCGUGGGGAGCAAACAGG
rnacentral:rRNA from 1 species